CACACGCUUUUUGAUGGCAUGGUCAGGAAAGCAUGGCAAGUAAAGAUCUGAGUAGAAACAACAAUAGGGAAUCAUCCAGAACAGGAUAUUAAACAGCAGUCCAGAAGGCCAGGCAGUACCAAGAGAGGUAGUCUCCAGUGGGAAGCCCCAUGGCAAGGGACACAGCAGGUAACCCCGACCCGGGCCUGCUGCCACUGCCGGCACUCCUCACAACAGCUGAGCCUGAAAAGGCACCUCCUCACAAGGGAUUAGGAACAGGAGGAAGCACAGAUGUGAUCAAAUUCCAGGACUCUGUGGGAAUGAAAAGAGCUUGAGCCCUGCUACCUGCCGCUGCCCUGAGUCAAGCCAUUCAUGCCCAGCAUUCUUUAUAGCAUUUCUGGUGCUUGUGUUACACAGUCUGUACUUCCAAGAGAUUUUGCAUCAAACACAUUUUCUGCGUAUUCCGGGUUUGAAAAGAGAAUUGGGGCUGUGGAUUUUGAGACGCGAGCAUAGCGUUGAAAUGUUUCACGCAUCAUUAAACUGAAAUACAGUUUGUUCUCUGUUUGUAAGGUACAUGAGAGGUUAUAAAACCCAAGCAUCCUGUAAUAUGAGUGAGCUAGGGGUCUGUUGCAUACCAGUCUCCUUUUCAAAGCGACCCCAUAGAAAGGCAACAGGGUGACUCUGCUGGUGAUAUUGCUGUUUAAUAAGGUUGGGCAGAAGACCUGGGGUGACCCUAAACCUGUGUCUUUAAGUUGUAGUAACGUCACCCAUAUGCUUGUGAACCCCAAUAUUUGCUUAGGUGUGAGUAGUGAGUAACUGAACUACAACACAUAAAGUAAAUUUGAGCACCAGAAAGCAACAGGAUGUAUUAAAAUAUAUGGACAAUUUGGCUGCACAAAUCAACAGGAAUACAUUAAAACACCAAGGUGCUAAUGCUGAGUAAUAAUAAUCAUGUAUUUUGGUUUUUAAUCUGUCUGUAGGUCGGGUGGGGCGAUGUGCAUUUAACUAGACAUCAUUGCAGAAAUAUCCUGAGCUUUCAAUUAGGUGCUAUUGAUGCAAUUAUCACUGUCAAUGUUGUCAACCUGUUUUAUUAAUUGACCUAGGAGUCACUAAUGAGUAGCAUAAAUACCAACCAUCUGCCAAUUGGUACUGUGCAGUCUCUGGGCUCUAAUGACUUUCACUUGUGUACAAAUUCUAUCCACCUUGUUCCAAACAAACACCUCAACAAGCACUUGUUGUUAAACUUGAAAACUCUAUAGAACGAGGCUCCUGGCUGGGCAGACUGCCUAGACACCUGCACUGUUUGAGAUGCAGCUUGAAUUGGGAACAGGCUCUUCCUAAUCCAUUGGACACCUGCACUGUUUGAGAUGCAGCUUGAAUUGGGAACAGGCUCUUCCUAAUCCAUUGGACACCUGCACUGUUUGAGAUGCAGCUUGAAUUGGGAACAGGCUCUUCCUAAUCCAUUGGACACCUGCACUGUUUGAGAUGCAGCUUGAAUUGGGAACAGGCUCUUCCUAAUCCAUUGGCUGCUGGCUGGAAGCAUCAAACAGGCUUACACAGCAUAGAUCACCCUCAGCAGUGGUGAAAAAUCAUAUGAAUUAAAAAAGGGGGUAGGUUACUGUAGAUGGUACAUAGGGUUUAUUCAUGAGCCUUUGGAGACCUGGGUUCAAAUCCAGCACACUUUGCCUUUGUUGGUCUCAAUUCCGCCAUCAGUUAACAGCACACCACAUCAUAAAACCACAAUAACAUUCAGCAAUUUUAAAGGCUUUUUCAAAAAGAGAGCCUCUCACACUUGCUUACAGACCACUGCAGAGCUCAAACUGGCACUGGCUGUGUCCUUGAUAUGUGGACAUAUAUAUAGGAAAACCAUCCCUGCAUCCUUUCUAAAAAAAACGACAUUUCUUGAAAUACCCGUUCUGUUCUGAAGAAUCUGUAUUCUGAGCUACAAGCAAGUUCUAAGCCCUCGCCUCACUACAGCAAACUCUGUAAUUGAAGUUAUACAUGGAAACAGCUAGAGAAAAUCCCCUGCAGUGCAGAAAUAUGUCACAACUUCUUAAAAUUCAAUCUACUGCGGCAUACGUUUUUCACCAUAAAGUAGUUCAAGGACAUGUUGUUUGUCUGCUAGGGGUUUCUGAUAACUGGAAAAAAAGAAGUUGCAUGAGUAAAACUACUGAAAAGCACCCAGGAAAUGCAUGCACUCUGUUAUUCUCAGUGUCUGCUCAGUGAUAGCUCCACUUAGGCAGUUGCUACCAGCUUAGCUCUGAAUUAUCUCGAGAUUCGCUCCAGUCUCUCUCUUUCAAUCCACCCUAAUCAUCAAACCCCUAUCCCCGACUCACUGUGAAAUUGACAAUCUAGAAGCUUUGCUUUAGCUCAGUGAGUAUGUGUGCAGUGAGAGAGUUGCCCCUCUGCAUAUGCAAUCAGUUUCCACCAGCUAGCUAAUAACAGAGCUCCUCCUAACCAGACGAUACACAUCGUUAACAAAUUCAGUAACGCUGUGUAAA